rnacentral:rRNA from 1 species
GAGCGGCGAACGGGUGAGUAACACGUGAGUAACCUGCCCUUGGCUCUGGGAUAAGCCCGGGAAACUGGGUCUAAUACCGGAUAUGACCCUCCACCGCAUGGUGUGAGGGUGGAAAGUUUUUCGGCUGAGGAUGGACUCGCGGUCUAUCAGCUUGUUGGUGGGGUGAUGGCCUACCAAGGCGACGACGGAUAGCCGGCCUGAGAGGGUGACCGGCCACACUGGGACUGAGACACGGCCCAGACUCCUACGGGAGGCAGCAGUGGGGAAUAUUGCGCAAUGGGCGAAAGCCUGACGCAGCGACGCCGCGUGGGGGAUGAAGGCCUUCGGGUUGUAAACCUCUUUCACCACCGACGAAGCUAACGUGACGGUAGGUGGGGAAGAAGCGCCGGCUAACUACGUGCCAGCAGCCGCGGUAAUACGUAGGGCGCAAGCGUUGUCCGGAAUUAUUGGGCGUAAAGAGCUCGUAGGUGGUUUGUCGCGUCUGCCGUGAAAACCCGAGGCUUAACCUCGGGCUGGCGGUGGAUACGGGCAGACUAGAGGUAGGUAGGGGAGAACGGAAUUCCC